UCCAGGUCUCCCACACAGGCCGUAUCUCUUUCCAGGAAUGCCACCCCUCUGGGCCUCGCCCGAGCUUGAUGCCACCCUGAGGACACCCGGGGCCACCUGCCAUGUCAGCCAGGCUGUUUCUGAGCACUUUUCCUGUGGACCCACCGACUGCACAUCUACAAGCAACUGCUCCGGAUUGCAAGGUUCCUACUGGAAAACAUGGCUGAGGAGCUCAAGGCUUUCACCUUCCUGGAACAGUGUGAAGCUCCCAGUAGCUUUGGCACCCACACCAAACCAGU